CCUUUCCUUUCUCUCUCUUUUCUUUCCUCCCUUCCUUUCUUUCUUGUGAAUGGGGGGAAAAAAGUAAAACCAAGGGGUAGGAAGUCAUGGAGACAUGUGAUAGGGCACUAAAUUAUAGUUAGAUAAGAGAAGCUAGUGCCGGUGUUAACUGCAGUAGGGCUAUUGUAGAUAAUAACGUGCUUAUGUUUCAAAAAACAAGAAGACGCAAUGUCUGAGACCCUGGGCUUUGUCCUAUCUAUGAUAAUUUCUCAGUCUUAUUUUUUCAUGAUCCUGGCAUUUCUUUUGUUUGUUUUUUUGAGAAAAGGCCUCACUCUGCAGAUCAGGUUAACUUUGAACUCAUGGCUAUCUGUCUGGUUUAGCUUCCCAAGGUUGGGAUUACAAGUUACUAACCCCCAGUCCCAGCAACCUUGGCCCUAUGAAGAGCACUGUUUAGGUAUUUUUGUAGAAUGUUCCAUGAGGCCUUAUCUCAUGUUUCUCUAAAUCAGACUGUGGUUAUUGGUUUGAAGAAAGAAGGUCACAGGAUGACGUACCCCUCUCCUUGAGUCAUGUUGUUGAUACAUGAUAGCAGUGUCCCUUGUGGCCAGGAUGUUAACCUUAGUCACGUGGUCCCAAGGUCAUGUCUGCUGCCAGGUUUCUUUACUGUAAAGUUACUCUUCUUUUCCUUCCUUGAGAAUUGAGCCUCUGAGUCCAGUCUUCAUUCAAGGGUAAGAGAAUUGAGUUCUGCUUCCCAGGAGAGGGGCAUCAAAGUGGGGACAGCUAUUAAAUCCACUGCAGCAAUUAGGGGCUCCAAGAAGACACUUUGAGGCUGUAUUCUGUGUCUCUGUAACCAUUUCAUUCUCUUUUUGAGUAUUGGUCAGUGGAUCUUGCCUACAGCAAAUCUUCAAGAAAAAGAGAACACUUUUCAACUUGAAACACCACAUUACCCAUUGUUUGAGGAAGCAUGCAAUGUCAAUAAGCUAUUAUGAAACCAGCCUUUGUAUUGUAUUAACCACAAUCAAAUCUACACGCUCUAGAUGAACUUAAAAUGUAUUCAGAACUGGGACCCACCGCUGUGACCAUGUUCAGUCUGAAUGAGUGAAAUCUUGCCUCUUUGCUAAAUAGUUCUCACUCCUGCCCUGCUCAGAGAAGCCCAUGCCACCCUCAGGCUUUGCAACCCUCUUCUUAUCUCCACACAACAGAAACAAAACAGUUAAAAAAAAAAAGAAGAAAGAAAAAGAAAAUGCUUCAGACCUUUCAUUUGUGACUACAUUACCAUCUAACUAUAAGGCCCCAUGUUGCUCAGGUUUGUCUUCAGUUCGUUUGCAGCUAAGGAUGACCUUCAACUCCUGGAGAUCCUCCAAACAUCACAGGCCUUCACCACCACACUUGGUUACCUAUGAUCAUGGGCUGGAGAGAUGGCUCAACACUUAAGAACAUUGCUAGCACCCAUAAUGGGAGGCUCACAACCACCUGUUACCCCAGUUCCAGGAGAACCUGACACCUUCUUGGUACCUGCUCACAUGUGCACAUCCAUGAAGACAUACAGAUACACAGACAU
rnacentral:lncRNA from 1 species